rnacentral:rRNA from 1 species
AACGAACGCUGGCGGCAGGCUUAGCACAUGCAAGUCGAACGGAUGUAGCAAUACAUCAGUGGCAGACGGGUGAGUAACACGUGGGAACCUUCCUCGUUGUACGGAACAACUCAGCGAAACUUGAGCUAAUACCGUAUAAGUCCGAGAGGAGAAAGAUUUAUCGCAAUGAGACGGGCCCGCGUCGGAUUAGCUAGUUGGUGGGAACGGCCGUACCAACGCGACGAUCCGUAGCNGAUCUGAGAGGAUGAUCAGCCACACUGGGACCGAGGACACGGCCCAGACUCCUACGGGAGGCGAGCAGUGGGGAAGUCUUGGACAAUGGGCGCAAGCCUGAUCCAGCCAUGCCGCGUGAGUGAAGAAGGCCUUAGGGUUGUAAAG